rnacentral:misc_RNA from 1 species
UUUGAAGAUGGAGAUGAUUCGUGGAUCGGCUUGCUGAAAUGGUUUGAACGAAGUUCUGUUCCCCCACUUACAUUUAGAAUAAAUCAUAUAAUGAAGAAAAUAAGAAAUUCGAAUAUGCUAUACUGGAUCUAAACUUAUACCAAAAGUUUAUCUCAUUUAUAAAUUUGUUUGUGUAGCAUGUAUGUUGUAUUCUGGAUGAGUUGAUUUUAG